ensembl:rRNA 5S_rRNA 5S ribosomal RNA
GCCAGUAUUAUUAGCCGAACAGAACAAACCAUCAUUAGACUCUCACAUGUUCGCCCACUGAAGCUAAGCAGGGCUGCGCCCGGUCAGUACCUGGAUGGGAGACCACAUGGGAAAGCUAGGUUGCUGCCGGAA